rfam:Felis catus isolate Cinnamon breed Abyssinian chromosome D1, whole genome shotgun sequence.
GCCUGGGUGGCUCAGUUGGUUAAGCGUCUGACUUCAGCUCAGGUCACGAUCUCGCGCUCCGUGAGUUCGAGCCCCGCGUCGGGCU